GCCUGCGCGGCGCGCUGGGCGUGUGCGGCGCCCGGGGCGCCGCCGGCGGGCCCGUGGUUCAGAAACCGUGGGGCAGCCA
rnacentral:tRNA from 2 species